rnacentral:rRNA from 1 species
UUUGGUAAACCUUACCCUUAAGUGGGGGAUAACAUUUGGAAAACAGAUGCUAAUACCGCAUAAAUCCAAAGAACCCGCAUGGUUCUUGGCUGAAAAGAUUGGCGUAAAGUAUCGCUUUUGGAUGGACCCGCGGCGUAUUAGCUAGUUGGUGAGGUAACGGCUCACCAAGGCAAUGAUACGUAGCCGAACUGAGAGGUUGAUCGCCCACAUUGGGACUGAGACACGGCCCAAACUCUACGGGAGGCAGCAGUAGGGAAUCUUCCACAAUGGACGCAAGUCUGAUGGAGCAACGCCGCGUGAGUGAAGAAGGCUUUCGGGUCGUAAAACUCUGUUGUUGGAGAAGAAUGGUCGGCAGAGUAACUGUUGUCGGCGUGACGGGUAUCCAACCAGAAAGCCACGGCUAACUACGUGCCAGCAGCCGCGGUAAUACGUAGGUGGCAAGCGUUAUCCGGAUUUAUUGGGCGUAAAGCGAGCGCAGGCGGUUUUUUAAGUCUGAUGUGAAAGCCCUCGGCUUAACCGAGGAAGUGCAUCGGAAACUGGGAAACUUGAGUGCAGAAGAGGACAGUGGAACUCCAUGUGUAGCGGUGAAAUGCGUAGAUAUAUGGAAGAACACCAGUGGCGAAGGCGGCUGUCUGGUCUGUAACUGACGCUGAGGCUCGAAAGCAUGGGUAGCGAACAGGAUUAGAUACCCUGGUAGUCCAUGCCGUAAACGAUGAAUGCUAGGUGUUGGAGGGUUUCCGCCCUUCAGUGCCGCAGCUAACGCAUUAAGCAUUCCGCCUGGGGAGUACGACCGCAAGGUUGAAACUCAAAGGAAUUGACGGGGGCCCGCACAAGCGGUGGAGCAUGUGGUUUAAUUCGAAGCAACGCGAAGAACCUUACCAGGUCUUGACAUCUUUUGAUCACCUGAGAGAUCAGGUUUCCCCUUCGGGGGCAAAAUGACAGGUGGUGCAUGGUUGUCGUCAGCUCGUGUCGUGAGAUGUUGGGUUAAGUCCCGCAACGAGCGCAACCCUUAUGACUAGUUGCCAGCAUUUAGUUGGGCACUCUAGUAAGACUGCCGGUGACAAACCGGAGGAAGGUGGGGAUGACGUCAAAUCAUCAUGCCCCUUAUGACCUGGGCUACACACGUGCUAAAAUGGAUGGUACAACGAGUUGCGAGACCGCGAGGUCAAGCUAAUCUCUUAAAGCCAUUCUCAGUUCGGACUGUAGGCUGCAACUCGCCU